GACGAACGCUGGCGGCGUGCCUAAUACAUGCAAGUAGUACGCUGAAGAGAGGAGCUUGCUCUUCUUGGAUGAGUUGCGAACGGGUGAGUAACGCGUAGGUAACCUGCCUUGUAGCGGGGGAUAACUAUUGGAAACGAUAGCUAAUACCGCAUAACAAUGGAUGACACAUGUCAUUUAUUUGAAAGGGGCAAUUGCUCCACUACAAGAUGGACCUGCGUUGUAUUAGCUAGUAGGUGAGGUAAUGGCUCACCUAGGCGACGAUACAUAGCCGACCUGAGAGGGUGAUCGGCCACACUGGGACUGAGACACGGCCCAGACUCCUACGGGAGGCAGCAGUAGGGAAUCUUCGGCAAUGGGGGCAACCCUGACCGAGCAACGCCGCGUGAGUGAAGAAGGUUUUCGGAUCGUAAAGCUCUGUUGUAAGUCAAGAACGGGUGUGAGAGUGGAAAGUUCACACUGUGACGGUAGCUUACCAGAAAGGGACGGCUAACUACGUGCCAGCAGCCGCGGUAAUACGUAGGUCCCGAGCGUUGUCCGGAUUUAUUGGGCGUAAAGCGAGCGCAGGCGGUUUGAUAAGUCUGAAGUUAAAGGCUGUGGCUCAACCAUAGUUCGCUUUGGAAACUGUCAAACUUGAGUGCAGAAGGGGAGAGUGGAAUUCCAUGUGUAGCGGUGAAAUGCGUAGAUAUAUGGAGGAACACCGGUGGCGAAAGCGGCUCUCUGGUCUGUAACUGACGCUGAGGCUCGAAAGCGUGGGGAGCGAACAGGAUUAGAUACCCUGGUAGUCCACGCCGUAAACGAUGAGUGCUAGGUGUUGGAUCCUUUCCGGGAUUCAGUGCCGCAGCUAACGCAUUAAGCACUCCGCCUGGGGAGUACGACCGCAAGGUUGAAACUCAAAGGAAUUGACGGGGGCCCGCACAAGCGGUGGAGCAUGUGGUUUAAUUCGAAGCAACGCGAAGAACCUUACCAGGUCUUGACAUCCCGAUGCUAUUUCUAGAGAUAGAAAGUUACUUCGGUACAUCGGUGACAGGUGGUGCAUGGUUGUCGUCAGCUCGUGUCGUGAGAUGUUGGGUUAAGUCCCGCAACGAGCGCAACCCCUAUUGUUAGUUGCCAUCAUUCAGUUGGGCACUCUAGCGAGACUGCCGGUAAUAAACCGGAGGAAGGUGGGGAUGACGUCAAAUCAUCAUGCCCCUUAUGACCUGGGCUACACACGUGCUACAAUGGUUGGUACAACGAGUUGCGAGUCGGUGACGGCGAGCUAAUCUCUUGAAGCCAAUCUCAGUUCGGAUUGUAGGCUGCAACUCGCCCACAUGAAGUCGGAAUCGCUAGUAAUCGCGGAUCAGCACGCCGCGGUGAAUACGUUCCCGGGCCU
rnacentral:rRNA from 1 species